rnacentral:lncRNA from 10 species
GCGGCGGCGGCGGGCGCAGGGGCAGGGCAUGACUGACGCGCCCUCUGCCUGCGCUUAUGUGAGAGAAAGCGGCCGAGGGAGGGAGCGUGCCGAGCCCGGGCUGCCCUCCCCUCUCACUCUCCCUCGGAAGCCGUCUCCCUGGAGCUCCCCGUUUCCCUCGCCUCCUCCCCGGCGGCCCCACCUCCCCCGGCCCCCCUCUGGAUCUCUCCCUCCCCGCCCCUGUCCCCUGCGGGGAGCGGGCGGCCGGAGGGGCAAGUUCAGUCCCGGGGCUGGCGGUUGGCGGGACCGGCUUUAGAGGUGAUGCGACCACCCUGGACCACGUGCAGCGGGGAGAAACUGGGCACCGUGGGGUGGAGGGAGCCCCCGCUUUAUCCUCGGCCACUCCCGAGUUCUUGUCCUCCCUCCCGCACGCCUGGCCCCCAGAGCCCUGCUCAAAGUUUGGAAAUGUCCUGGGGGUUGUAAAAGUUCCAAGAAAAGGUCAUCACUAUGUCAGAGAACCCUAUGGGACCUCGGAGGGGUCCCCUCUCUCCCUUGGUCUGUGUAGUUGAAAGUUGCCUGAUGAUCCAAGAACCGCAGUUCUCAGGAUGCAGUGCAGGCUGUUGGGAUGGAUGCUAAUGAUCCCUUUGGAAUCCUAAACUUCUGACAGUUUAAAAAUACAAGUUUCGGGCCAUGUGUGGUGGCUCACAUCUGUAAUCCCAGCAUUUGGGGAGGCUGAGGAAGGAGGAUCACUUGAAGUUACUUUGAGACCAGCCUGGGCAACACAGCAAGACCCCAUCUCUGCAAUCAAUCAGUCGAUCAAUAAAAUACAAGUUUUGUCUAAAUUCUGCUUUACUUGUAUUUCUCAAUUUUGAUACGUAGUGCUUCCUUUGGCAAACAGUUGCAAAUAUAUCUUAAUUUGUUUAUAUUUUUA